UAUCAUCUUGCAAGGUGGCCCCCAGCCGGGGGGAAAAUACAGAGGGAAGAGAAUUAAGAAGAGUAGAGACUGACAUGAUUUCUUCAGAGCUUGUCAGACUCUCUUUGAGUCAAGCACACGUUAAGGACACCUGAAUAUUUUGGAAAGUCUGCAACUACCUUGGGGCAGAUAGCAACCCUCCAGGCUUUAGAGUGUGGUCUUCUUGAGUUGUUGGGAUGGAAAGAAUGCGCUGGCCAGUAAGCAACUCUCUGAAUUCAGAGCUAGACUUGAAGAUAACUAGCAUCAUCUCAUCAGAGGAGAGCAACAUAGAAGGGAACCAGAAUGAAGGAGAGCUCAGAGAAGGAAAAACCUCUGGGGAGCAAUGACAAGAAGAGAAGCUGGCAAAGGAGUAAUGUCACUGGGAUCUAGAGCAAAGAGGAAUCAUUGCUAGAGAAGGAGAGCCGAUGCUAUUUAUGGCUAUCUUCCCCUGGACCUCCUGGAGGAUCUCUUAGAGCAAAGAAAAGCAAGGAGCAUUGGAGGCUGUGCACAACCUUGGGUGUUCCCAUUGAUGUGGAGUGAUGGUUCUGAAGGCUGGAUUAAAGUUAAAAGAGGCAAUGAUUAGGAUUGUGCAGCCUGGGCUACGUGCAGUUGAAGGACAAAAUAUAAAAGGAAGUAGGAAGUGAUUCAAUUCUCUUUGUUCAAAGAAAAUGUAUUCUUCACCACAAGAGAGACUUGGCUUCAUUACUAUAAAAAUAAAAGGCAAA